rnacentral:lncRNA from 1 species
AAAUAAAUAAAUAAUAAUAAUAAAGAAACAAGAGAGAGAGAGAGAGGGGUCCCACCCUUGGUGCAACCAUUCUUUCUUUACUGGAUUUGUGGAUCUAGGGCCGACUUACCCAGUCGGGACCCGAAGUCUGCUCAAGCCCAUUUUGGGUUGUUUAGAGGUUUUAAUUAGAUUUUAAAUGGUGAAUAGCAAGUAAUUCAUUUUAAAAUAAUUUUGAUAGGUGCAACGGAGUUGCUCAACUAAAUCUAGGGAUCUUUGGAUGAACAGAGGUAAGUAAAUCUUAUACUCCUUACUACUUUUAGAAGUUAUGAUCAUAUUUUUCGUGCAUAAAAUCUGCAUAUGAAAAUAUCAUAUUUUUCCUAAAAUUGUGGAUCAGCAUGUGUUAUGAAAAUCAUUCUUUAUUAUGAAAAAUAGUUUCAUGAAUGUGUUGAUGAAAAUAGAUCUGUUAUGAAUCUGAUCAUGUCCUUUAGUAUUUUUUACCUAUUUAUGUGUAUAUUUUAAGAAAAAGAUAUAAGUUUUCUAAAGGCUCUCAAAAAGCUAUAAUCGCCUCUAGAAAUGGAGGCCAGUCGACACCCUAGAGCUAGAAUCCAACGAAAACGGCCCUCUGCCAAUGAGUUAAAGUUCGUAACGAAUAUGAAUUAUGAAAUCUUAUCGAUUAUGAAGACAUCCCUUUCACGAAAUUAUAGUGACCAUGGCAACACUAAAAUCUGCGAGCAAUGUUUUGAACUAUGAUAUGACUAAAUGACAGAAGAAUGAUUUAUGCAAAAUAAACUUGAUACUAUAUUUGUAGAAAAUAAAUGAUUUAUGCAUGCAUUGCUGUAUGAUUUAUUUUAAUAUAUGUGAUAUGAAAUGUUUAUCUUGAAAUAUCUAUUAUUUUUUUUAAACGAUGCAUUGACAUAGAAAACUUAUGCUUGAUCCGGUAAGGUAGUAAAAUAUUUACUUACUAAGUUGUGUCGCUCAUAUACUUCUGUUUUAUUUUUCUCCCUAGACAAAUAAGAUUAGUAGGGAUAAAGGUUGGCUUGGAGAUCGCACUAGCAAGCUUGACAAUAUUGUAGAAAAGUUUUAGUAGCGUAGUUAAUGAUGAGUUGAGCAUGAUGUUGGAUUUUAGAUGCUCUAUACUUCUUUUUUUUUAAUUAGUAAAUAGAAUUGAACAAAUUUUAUCAUACUAUAUAAAAAAAAUAUUGUUAUUAUAGGCUUUUUACCGUAGCACGGCCAUGUCACCCUAAGGCGCGACAAGUCGUGCAUCGAAUCCGGAUCGUAACAAAUAUAGCAUCGGAUCCUGACCUGAUCUGGACCAAAGACAGCGGGCCUAGCCGGCUUUUCUCCUUCGGAACAGGGGACCGCGAUCCCCUGCCCGAGCGGCUUGAAGGGUCGUCGUUGCAACCGUCGAAGGGCUGCCGUUGAGGCCAUUAGAGUCGGUUACAACCGACGAAAGGCCGGCCGUUGCAGCCAUUCCGAGCCUGUCCCUUCUUCCGGGGGUAAUAAAAACCCCCGAUCAACCACCCGAUUUGCCACCUCCUUCCUCUUUCCUUCUUCCUCUUCCUCUUCCUUCUUCCUCCUCCUUCCUUUCCUCCUUUCCUUUCUAUCUUCCUUUUUUCCUUCCUCUGCUUGGGCUCACCAUGCCCUCGCUCGUGCCACCGGGAUCACGGCCGCAACACCUCCUGAGAGCGAGGUAAGAUCCCCUGUCUCCUCCCCUACCUCCCCCUCCUUCCGAUCGACCAGCAAUGGCCGAAAUCCGGCAAAGGGCCGCUGGGAUGAGGAAGAAGAAGAAGAAGAAGAAGAAGAAGGAGAGGAAAAGAAGAAAAAGAAGAAGAGAUGGGAGACCACUUACCUGGUGGUCGUUCCCAUAGUCCUCGGCUGAAGCCGCCAUCGGUGCUCAGUCGUAGCCGCCGCCGGUGCUCGGCCACAGCCGCCGAUGGGCUGGAGGCCCUUUCUGCUCCUUUCCCUCUUGUUCGCGAUAAAGAGGCAUAGAGAAAAGAAGAAGAAGAAGAAGAAAAAGAAGGAAGAAAGAAAGAAGAAGAGAAGGAGAAGAGGGGGGAGGACACUUACCGGUCCUCGGUUGCAGCUGCAAUCGGGCCGGAGGCCUUCCUCCCUUCUCCUGCUUCUCGGUGGGGGGAGGGUUCAGACCGCCCCCCUUUCCACCGAAGAAAAGACGGGAGAGUGAUGAG